GAUGAACGCUGGCGGCGUGCCUAAUACAUGCAAGUCGAGCGAACAGACGAGGAGCUUGCUCCUCUGACGUUAGCGGCGGACGGGUGAGUAACACGUGGAUAACCUACCUAUAAGACUUGGAUAACUUCGGGAAACCGGAGCUAAUACCGGAUAAUAUAUUCAACCGCAUGGUUCAAUAGUGAAUGACGGUUUUGCUGUCACUUAUAGAUGGUUCCGCGCCGCAUUAGCUAGUUGGUAAGGUAACGGCUUACCAAGGCGACGAUGCGUAGCCGACCUGAGAGGGUGAUCGGCCACACUGGAACUGAGACACGGUCCAGACUCCUACGGGAGGCAGCAGUAGGGAAUCUUCCGCAAUGGGCGAAAGCCUGACGGAGCAACGCCGCGUGAGUGAUGAAGGUCUUCGGGUCGUAAAACUCUGUUAUUAGGGAAGAACAAAUGUGUAAGUAACUAUGCACGUCUUGACGGUACCUAAUGAGAAAGCCACGGCUAACUACGUG
rnacentral:rRNA from 1 species